rnacentral:lncRNA from 1 species
GUCAAGGGACAGAGGUCAGAGAGGCUCUGUGGGCCUAAGCAUGUCAGGGAUUUCCCGAACAGGUGGAGAGCUCUGAGAUUUUAAACUCAGUGCAAAGAGAGCCUUUGGAGGGUUUUAAGCAGAGAAGACAUGAUUUGAAUUCCAUUUUUGAAAGACCGUUCUGUCUGUUGCAUGGAGAAUGAAUUAAGGAGAAGAAUGGAAGCAGAGGUACCUGCCCGGAGACCACUGGUUGAGACAGGAUCCUGCCAGCGCAGCGUAGACAUCACCUCCCUGGGCUUCCAAACAGCCCUGUGAGUGGAGGAUCAAGGACAGGGAUUACUUUUCAGAUGGGAAAACUGGCACGCACAAACAGCGUGUGUGCCAAGACCCCUUCACAAGACAGUGAGUGGCACAGCCAGAAACAGGAUGCAGAUCCUCCUACAUCAGAAGGAAGACAUGCAGCGAACAAGAAAUGGAGGAUGGAAAAUGAGCCGCAAACUACCACAGGCCCGAUGGGGGCAGCAGGUGUGGCGGCUUCUGAGAAGAGCAGAGUGUGGUGACCGGAAGGCAGAGGAGCCCUGACCAGGGAAGGCCUCUGGAGCCAUUUGUUAGAGUUUGGUCUAUGAGUGGAGCGAGACGAUGCCAGCUCUAGAUGCAACAUAAGAUGCACGCACCCUGUCGCCUGCCCUCCACACGUGCUCCGGCAAGAAGGAUCGAGUGUGCAAGACUGUAAGUACUUAUUUACCAUAAUGGCACUCAACUCCUUCCCUA